CAGACCAGAAUUCAUAAACAGGAAACAAUCAACACUCAUCAGCUCGCAAACAAACAGCAAGACAUAUUAAAGGAGAGUCCAUGCUUCCUGAGCCCCACCAGAUCCACACCACGCUAGGCAGCACCAGCGCGGAGGAGUGUGGUGGCCUGCCAUCUCACAGGCGAAUUCAGAGGGUCGGCAGCAGUGUGCAUGCAGCAGCCUCGGCCCCCAGACAGAUGUGCACACUGGGUGCAGUUAAGGCUACAGAGACCCGAGGUCUUUGCGACUCGAGAAUGGAGCCCAUCUCCCCAUGGACCUGUGGAAUGAAACGCGCUCCCGUUUCAGCAAAUAUUUACUGAGCACUCAAGUGCCAGGCCUGCUGGGAACUGGAUGAUGAAAGAGAUGUGAACCCUGACCUCUAAGGAGAGUGCAUGCCCGAGCAAGUGAGUGGGGCGCUCCUGGAGGAGAAGGCACUACAGCUGUUCCCUAAAAGGGGGCCUGGAGGUGGGGGCUGCAGGAACAAGCACCCCCAGAUGAUGGCUGCUCUCUCCCCACUGCUGAGAAGUCCGGAAAUUUCCACAGCAGCCUCGGAGGCUGAGGCAGUGGACACAGCAGAAGCUUGUGCUCAGGCUGAGGCCACUCGGACUAAAAGCAGCUACUCCUACCCCCACUGUCCUAAUGGGGGGGUCACUGAGCCACCCUAACUCCUCUUCUGGGCCCAUGCCCAAACCACUGCCUUCAGGCCCAUUCAGACCUCAGGUGCCAGUAACGGCAUGCAUUUCCAAGCCCACCACAAUGCCGUGCAUCCUGAGAGAGGUUACUUUUUCUUUUUUCCUUUUUUUUUUUUUUUGUUCUUGUUGUUGUCACUGACUCUUCACUACUCUGGGAUGAUUUUUUUCAACUAGACAGACAUACACACAGAGAGAGGAAAAACAUCACAGCACCUGAGUGUCUCCAAUGCUAUAGGGAGAGGCUCAAAAUCAGGUCACUCACAUGGCAAAGUGAGCAAUUUUACCAGCCCUCUUUUCCCAGACUCAGAUUUCAGACUUGAUCAACCAACCUGGGUUUCACAUGCCCCCCCACCUUUUUUCCUUCAUAUGUCCCUUAAAGUUCAUGAAAACCUUCAGCUACCAAAAAGAUGACGAAGAACAAUGCCUCAGACACUCGGCUUCUGAGUAGGAGCUGGUCUCUACCAAGAAGUUCAAAUAUGGCUUCCCAAAUAGGGUAUGAACACAGGGCCUUGUGUAGGUGUCACACUGCUGAGUGGCCUCUAAGGCCUCUUUUUUUUCUUCUUCUUCCAUUUUUAUUUAAAGAGAGAAACAGAAGAAAGAAGAGAGGAGACACAGCAUGGCACCACCGUACCACCUGGGACUCCCCCGUACCCCAAGCUGCAUGUUGUCCAUGAUGCUCCCACAUGGUACAGAGGCUUGAACCCAGGACUGUGUACAUGGUGCUGCCCGCUUGUGCAUCCGGCCCCCUGCUGCCCACAGCACCAAGCUCUGCCUGGGUCUCUGAGGCUGAACCAGGGAAGCCCAUGCAGCUGGAAGGGGGAGCAAGGCCAUCCCUAACUGUCAGCCCUGUCAACCCUGCUGCCUGAGUCACUAAACUGGAGUGCUUCCGGGUCGGUGACUGUAUCUAAUGGUGCAAUAAACAUGCUUGUUUCACAUUUGAGGUUGUUUCCGCAGCCCAGGGCCCCACUGGUGGAAUUUCUGGGUCAAGAGCAUGUAUUUUCCUGGAGCUUCCCAGCACACCACCAACUGAUUCUCUCAAGUGGUGAUACCCAUCUGUGCUGCCGGGAGGGGGAGAAGUGAUGGGGCUCCAUAAACGGCAAAAUUCCAGCUCAGAUGGGAUGCUCGUCAGACAUAAAAAUACACUUAGCCUAUCGUGACUAAUAGACAGUAAAAAUACACUUGGACUCUGAGGCUCAGAUCUCAGUCUUAAUCAACCUGGGUUUCACAUGCCCCCCCCCCCCCCCCGUCUAUUUUUCUUAUGUCCCUUAAAGUUCACGGAAACCUUCAGGCCCCAGAGAGAUGACAAAGAACAGCGCCCCCGACACUCGGCUUCUGAGUACAAACCGGUCUCCACCAUGGAGCUGAAACACGACUUCCCAAAUUUAAUGACUAGUAUUUUAAAAUUUCCCAAAACCAUAAAAAGAACUGGAUCAAGUUUAUCUCCCAAAUGUGAAAUACAGAUGAGAUUGAGGGCAGCAAACUUCGGAAAUGCAUGCAUUCCUUUUAUAACCUUCAAGUAUGUGGAUGUCUCUCUCGCAACCAUCCACCAGAAUGAGUGUCC